rnacentral:rRNA from 1 species
GACGAACGCUGGCGGCGUGCCUAACACAUGCAAGUCGAGCGGAGAUUAGUUGAAGAUUUAUCUGAUACGAUUUUUAGCGGCGGACGGGUGAGUAACGCGUGGGCAACCUGCCUCCUACUGGGGGAUAGCACUGGGAAACUAGUACUAAUACCGGAUAACAAGGUGUUCCCGCAUGGUCGAAUGUUCAAAGGAGCAAUCCGGUAUGAGAUGGGCCCGCGUCGGAUUAGCUAGUAGGUGGGGUGAAGGCCUACCAAGGCGACGAUCGGUAGCCGAACUUAGAAGUUGAUCCGCCACAUGGGGACUGAGGCACGGCCCAGGCGCCUACGGGAGGCAGCAGUGGGGAAGAUUGCGCAAUGGGGGAAACCCUGACGCAGAAACGCCGCGUGAAGGAUGAAGGUCUUCAGAUUGUAAACUUCUUUGAUUGGGGACGAAUAAUGACGGUACCCAAAAAACAAGCCACGGCUAACUACGUGCCAGCCGCCGCAGUAA